rnacentral:lncRNA from 1 species
GAUAAUCGAAUUGUUGGAUGUUCUUACCAAGUGUAUGAUCAAUCUUGCUGCACUACUGUAGAGAAUCUGGAAGUGUUUCCCUUCAUUGACUAUGUAUGUAAAAUUAUAGCAAGGUGGAUUUUAUGGUAUUAAAAUUAUGUUUGAACUUUGAACGUGUUCAGCCAUGAUAUACUAGACAAGUUCUGCUCCGUUUGUGGGGGCUAAGAAGCAUAAACUUUCCAUGUCUCUUAUGCUUAUUUCUGUUUUUGAAGUGCAGAUGUGAGAUUGCCGCUGCCCUUCCAAAAUUCAAACUUGAAUUAUUGAAUUGGAGCUGCCGGCCCUAGCUGAGUUCUGUAAAAUGUCAGAGCUUUAAGCAAGGCGAAGCGUUUGAACUUGUCAGGACCAAGUUGAGUUUUCUCUUGGAGUGAAGAGCACUCUGAAGUUCAUUAUUCAACCCACUUCCAUGCCUAUAUUUCAAGAAGAUGAUCAGAAAGAGGUUCUGCCAUCUUUCUUUUGAGGAGAGGAUAAGGCUGCAAUCACCACAUUUACCUCUGUAUUUUCUUGUACUGAGUAACGGGAAAAACAAUCUUUACAGAUUCAAGAUGAAUUGGGACACUUUAUGUAGUGUUGUCAUCAUUUUAUUGUACUAGUUUUUAGUCAUGAAUUUUUAGUCUCAUCUGGUUUGUAUUUGUCUCUAUAGCAAUUCUGUUAUUAGACUUCAAAAUCGUUCAAGUUGAAGCCGAGGGUAUAUUGAAAACAGCCUCUCUGUCCCUUGGGUUUAACCUUGGGUUUAGAGUUAAAGGUGUGCGUAUGCAUUACUCUUCCCACACCCCACUAGACACA